rnacentral:rRNA from 1 species
CGGAGGAAAAGAAAAUAACAAUGAUUCCCUUAGUAACUGCGAGUGANGGGGGAAAAGCUCAAAUUUUAAAUCUGUUAGGUUAUACCUGACCGAGUUGUAAUUUGAAGAGGCGUUUUCUGAGGGUUUGAUCAGUCCAAGUCCUUUGGGAUAAGGCAUCAUGGAGGGUGAGAAUCCCGUUCGGUUGAUCAGAACUUCUUUACGAUACGUCAUCAAAGAGUCAAGUUGUUUGGGAUUGCAGCUUAAAAUGGGAGGUAAAUUUCUCCUAAGGCUAAAUAACGGCGAGAGACCGAUAGCGAACAAGUACCGUGAGGGAAAGAUGAAAAGAACUUUGAAAAGAGAGUUAAACAGUACGUGAAAUUGUUGAAAGGGAAACGAUUGAAGCCAGUCGUACCGGCGGGUAAUCAGCCUUUUGGGUGUGAUUAUGUGGAGCGUGAGGAGUUAAUCACCCUCAUCUUUGCAUAUUCGUGCACUUUGGGUGUACUUGCUCGUGUGGUAGGUUAACAUCAAUUUUGAUCGUCAUAAAAUGAUUGGAGGAAUGUAGCUUCGAUCUCGUAUUGAAGUGUUAUAGCCUUCGGUAGAUGUGAUGAUUGGGAUUGAGGAUUGCAACGGAUACCCUUCGGGGCUACCUGUCUGAUCUCUGAAAGUUGCUCUGGUGCUGAAAGCUUGCUUAUGGUAUCAAAGUUGACGUUCAACAGGUUAGAACGGGAUAAAUUCGUNAAGGAUGUUGACGUAAUGGCUUUAAACGACCCGUCU